CUGAAUUGACUCACAAUUCUCCACCUCGAUUCUUCCGACAAACCAAGAGAACCCUGUCCGAUUCUCUUCUUUGUCCCGAUCAUCCCGAUCGAAAACCCUAGCUCUCUCACGAGCUAGAUCUAGUUCCUGUACACACAUAGAUCCCUUCUCCCAUCCUCAAAUUUCUUCACCGGUAGAGGUUUGGUAAGAAGGUCUGCUGGAUUGAUCUCUGUGUCUAUCUUUGACAUGAUCACAUCCCCGUCUGCAAUCACAUCUCGGAUGAAAUGGUAUCGCGUCUGGAUAUGUUUUGUCCUCUCAUAGAAGACACUGUUCUUCGCUAGGCAGAUGGCACUAUGAGAGUCGCUGAAGAUCUCAACACUCUCCUGCUUGAAUCCGAGCUCACAGGCCAAAACGCCAGCUAACGGUGUUUCUUCCAAAUUGAAAGACAUAUCCAGUAAUGGAUCUUCUCCGAUCCAGGUCAAUAGCGUAGUCACUAUCACAGUAACCUACAAUAUCAAACUUGUCUGAUUUCUUGAAUGUCAGACAACAAUUUGAGCUUCCCUUUAAAUAUCUGAGUGUCCAGAUAACUGCUUCCUAAUGUGUCUUGUUAGGGGAGCUCAUGAACCGACUCACCAGUCCUACAGCGUGAGCGAUGUCUGGUAUGGAGCCUACCAUCGCGUACAUGAUGCUUCCGACUGCACUUGAAUAAGAAACAAGAUCGAACGAGAGAGAGAGACGACACGAGAAUUUACAAGUUCUCAAGGUCAAGGUGACCAAGGUACGUCUUGGAGAGCUAAAACCAGCUCUCAAGGUUUAUAUCAAGUGUUAAACAGAGUACAAGAAACCAGAAAGAUGAACAACCCCAGAGAGAUUUACACCAAGAUGAGAAGGAAGAAGAUAAGCUCUAAAACCUCUAUCUUUCUCUCUAGAUCUUUCUGCUUGAUACUCACACUCCUCUUACUCUUUUGUCUUCACCCUGUGCUCUCCUUUUAUAACCGUUGAAUAGCUCUCUUUAUAGCUCACAUUCAACCUUUGGAGCAACAAACCUUGGAGCAGGGUUUUGUAUACGAUGACACGUCCACAAGGAGACACAACAAUAGAGUCUUCCUGAACUUGCAACUGGACCUUGAAUGAAAAUAAGAAGCUUACCGGGCCUUCACCUACCAAAAGGCCUAAACGUUUCAUUUCAUGCCCAAAACCUUUAUCGGACUGAAUCGACUCACACUUCAGCUUCAUUUAGAAUGUACUAACGACUUCCUUUUAAGGCUCACAACAAUGUCGAAAUCAAAUAAAAUAGAAUUUUGUUUGGUGGUAGACGAAGAGAAAGUCUAUUCUCUUUCGGGGGAAAAAAACAAAACCUCCUUUUAAAUUAAGCCAUCAGAAAUAUUAA